ACCCGCUGAACUUAAGCAUAUCAAUAAGCGGAGGAAAAGAAACCAACAGGGAUUGCCCUAGUAACGGCGAGUGAAGCGGCAACAGCUCAAAUUUGAAAUCUGGCUUCGGCCCGAGUUGUAAUUUGUAGAGGAUGCUUUUGGCGAGGUGCCUUCUGAGUUCCCUGGAACGGGACGCCAGAGAGGGUGAGAGCCCCGUAUAGUCGGACACCUAGCCUCUGUAAAGCUCCUUCGACGAGUCGAGUAGUUUGGGAAUGCUGCUCAAAAUGGGAGGUAUAUCUCUUCUAAAGCUAAAUAUAGGCCAGAGACCGAUAGCGCACAAGUAGAGUGAUCGAAAGAUGAAAAGCACUUUGAAAAGAGGGUUAAAUAGCACGUGAAAUUGUUGAAAGGGAAGCGCUUGUGACCAGACUUGCGCCGGGCUGAUCAUCCAGUGUUCUCACUGGUGCACUCGACCCGGCUCAGGCCAGCGUCGGUUCUCGCGGGGGGAUAAAAGCGUCGGGAACGUGGCUCCUCCGGGAGUGUUAUAGCCCGUCGUUUAAUACCCUCGCGGGGACCGAGGUUCGCGCUCUGCAAGGACGCUGGCAUAAUGGUCAUCAGCGACCCGUCUUGAAACACGG
rnacentral:rRNA from 1 species